UUUGAAAAGGAUAGAAGUGCAAAAUUGAAUUCCUUCUAUGCUGACCUAAAAGUUUGCCUAUACAUGCACUAUUUCUUCAAUAGCAAGUCAGAUUUUUCAGAGAUUAAUAAUCCUAAAAAGGAAAAACGGGUGAGUAUUUGAAAGAUUUUGAGAGAAUACUAAAAAUUCCUGCGUUUUUCUUGGUACAAAUUGGUCAAAUUCUUCCCUAAACUGAUUAGAUAAUCAGAGUUUUGAGACUCAAAAACUGGUUGCUCGUCUGCGGUAUUUACUAGGGUCGAAGAUACUGAAUUUGUUUGGAUUGCUAGUUCUAUAAAAGCUGGUUCUGUUGUUGUUAUCUACUGAUUCUUCACUUCUUUUGUUUCCUUUUUUUCCAAGUAUUUCUCACCUCUUUGACAUGUGAAAUGGAGGAACAUGAUGUUAUUUGCUUGAGUUUGAAACAUAGAGCAUAUCAGUUAUUGCUAUAGUAUCGACUUCCAUUUGAAUUUGUUAAAAAUUCCAAGUACUGAUUUGUUUACUCAUAGUUUGAAACAUAGCCCUACCUUUCUAGGAUUUGGUAUUUAGCUUGCCCUUGCUCACAUGUGAGAGCCUUGAAUCCAAAUGGUUUCCCAAACAGACUCUGGAUCUGAAAUCAGACCUGAAGAUUUUUGACAUUUAGUGUAACUCUUUCAUUUGGUUUCCUUUAGAAAGUUUUGGCUCAUAUAGCCUUGUUUAUAUGUGCUAGUCUGAAAUCAGAAUUUAGCAUAUGCUUACAUCUUUGAAUUAUUAUAAUACUAAAUGAGGAACAACUUGUGUAAGGUCUUUGUUAUCGCAUUGAGAAUCAUAUUUUAAAUAUAGAAUGUAUGUGGUAUUCAAAUAUGCUUCACUUGUGAUUAAGUUUGUCCUUAAUCAAAGAUUUUUAUGUAAUUUAUGGUAUCCUCCCAAACGUUAGUGCUGAAACUUUAAACUGGGUUGUCAGCAUUAGCCCAGUC
rnacentral:lncRNA from 1 species